AGUGAACGCUGGCGGUAGGCCUAACACAUGCAAGUCGAACGGCAGCACAGUAAGAGCUUGCUCUUACGGGUGGCGAGUGGCGGACGGGUGAGGAAUACAUCGGAAUCUACUUUUUCGUGGGGGUUAACGUAGGGAAACUUACGCUAAUACCGCAUACGCCCUACGGGUGAAAGCAGGGGAUCUUCGGACCUUGCGCGAUUGAAUGCGCCGAUGUCGGAUUAGCUAGUUGGCGGGGUAAAGGCCCACCAAGGCGCCGAUCCGUAGCUGGUCUGAGAGGAUGAUCGGCCACACGGGAACUGAGACACGGUCCAGACUCCUACGGGAGGGAGCAGUGGGGAAUAGUGGACAAUGGGCGCAAGCCUGAUCCAGCCAUACCGCGUGGGUUGAGAAGGCGUUCGGGUUGGAAAGCCCGUUUGUUGGGAAAGAAAAGCAGCAGGUUAUUACCCCGCUUUUCUGACGGUACCCAAAGAAUAAGCACCGGCUAACUUCGUG
rnacentral:rRNA from 1 species